AAACCCGGUAAAAAUGGAAUUUUCGAAGAGACUAUUUCGCUGGAUCCACUUCGAUCCCUCGAAAACACAAAUGCACCGGAAAUCGUGUUUCACGGCCCACCUUAUUGUUGACGGGACCAAGUUUAGGUAGUGCAGUGUGCAGUGUUGGUGGUGCAGUGGCGACGGACGACGGCUGGAGGCGCUUGGUGUUCUCUCGCUGCGACUGCGAUUGCUUGGUGUGGCAGUGGCGCCGGUGCAACCUGAAGGUCGUUCCCGCAGACCGGCCAAGAGGAGCGCCCGGACACCAAGGACUCUUUGUUGCAGUGAUCCUGACCGCUGUUUUCUUUUCUUCUGGCGUCGCCAUGUCGUUGCGUUGCAACAUUUGCUUGGAGAGGUUCGAUAACGGGGAGAGGCUGCCCAAGUGCCUCCCCUGCGGCCACACGGAAUGCCUCAAGUGCCUCAAGGAGUUGAAGAAUCUCCGGUGUCCGGAGUGUCGACGGGAGCUGGUCGGGCCUGUUGACGCUUUGCCGAACAACUAUUUCGCUUUGAGUUUCGUCGUCGAAAGGGAACAGCAGAAGCGCGCUGAUCUGAGGUGAGGCG